CCGGCUUCUGAAUGGACGAUCCAAACCGUUAAACAUUAUUUACAGCAUUUAAAAUUUCUAUAAAUCAAAUUUUAUAAUUUUUUGACAUCAUUUACUUUACGAUCAAGAGGUCACAAAUUUGACAAUUUUUAACGGCCGGUAUGGGAUACUUGCUAGUUUAACGGUGUAAAAGAAUCGAAAUUUAUUGAAUUUUUGAUAGAAAAUUCUAUUCACUACAUAGAUUAAGAUCAAUAACUCCGAUCUUGAAUUGAAGGUCCGAUCAUCCUUUUUUAGGACGUCGUUUGAUUUUGACCGUUUAUUUUAUGCAUGCUUGAUGGACUUUAUUGUGAUUUCGAAAAAUUACGAAAUUUAUUUUUUAGAAGUUUCAAAUACUCUAGAUCAUAUUUAACGGUGUGGAUCGUGGAUUCGAAAGCUCUAUCAUCGAAAACAAGUUAUGAGUACUAAGGGCCCACUACUCA
rnacentral:lncRNA from 1 species